rnacentral:misc_RNA from 1 species
CGCACAUUGCGCCCUCUGGUAUUCCGGGGGGCACACCUGCUCGAGCGUUAUUGCAACUUUCAAGCUUCCAGCUUAGUCUUAAGUAAUCGUUUCGUGAGCGAAACGUACUCGAAAAGGAUUGGUAGUCCGGUAAGAGGUUUAAAACGUAAUAAAUGCGUUCCCGCUUAGAAAGCUCCUACCCAGGAUUUGCCUCGUACUACAAGUGGUUUAUUCUAAUAGUUGACCUCGGAUUAGGUGGGGAUACCCGCUAAACUUAA